ACAUAGAGAUAGACUUGGUAUUACUUUUCUUCUUGUUUCAGACUGCUCAAAUAACAAUAGCAAGAGUGGAAGUGCCCGUUGUGCCAAGAACAAUAAAGUGGAUGCACGGAGUCUGAGAAUUCUUGGCAACAAAUAUCUCAAACCAAUUAGGCCCUAAUAUGAAAUAUUUUUAGAUUUGGAUUCCUUUCAUUGGAUGUGCAGAGGAUAAGACUCCUUGAAGCAAUUUGCUAGUUCUCUUUUUCCGUUUCUGGAAAUGCAUGCAAUUCUUGUCUUUACGAGGAAUGCUGGAGGAGCAAAGCAGAGAACUUUCCCUCCCGUUGAUGCUGCAGGAGCCGGAGCCGUGCCGUGCCCCACAGGAGUGAGGGGGAGCACAGACCACAUGCGAAGAGGCCACAUUUCACUCCUGGCAGUGGGAAUUCAACCCCUGCUGCUCCCUGGUGACUCCCUAAGUCCUGGGCUGGCAGUCCUCUGCUCACCAAAUUUUGUACAAGGCACAAAUUCCCACCAACAGGGACUGGUGUGUGUCACCUGCCCUGCUGCUCUCCUCUCUGGGAAGAUAUCCCCAGCAAACCGAGGCUGCCAAACACCCCUGGGACUCCAGUCUCCGUGCCAGAUAUUUGUUACAUAGCAGUACACGACACUGCAGGGAGAUGAUGUACCUUUGUCUAUGCCGGCAGUGACAUCAAAGCAAUCAUUUAAUUUCUGGUGUACUGAGAAAGCCAUUGGAAAACGCUGGCACCUGCACUUGAGGCUGGUACCUGCACUUUGCUGAAAACCUCCAUGCAAAGACUGACAUUCUUGUCAGGACACCUUCAAGAAAACUGUACUGAACCAAGGUCAAAGUUGGCUCGAAACCUCUUGGAGAACACGGUGGAGUGCACUGCCCUUGCAUCUGACUCAUGGAAAACAGCUGCCCCAUCCUGCCUGAGAGCAAAGUGCUUUACAAACAGCAUGAGGCCACGCCUAAACCCUUGAACAGUAAGAGAUGUAAGACCACAGGAAGCAUUGACUUUUCCACACCAAGAACGUGGAAGCUCCUCCAUUUGUUAAGUGCUAUGAACCAACAGGCCAACGGACUGCUGUCAGUAAAUCCAAAUGCUGCCAUCACAGCAGCUGCCCAGGAGCACAGAGGUGGGGAUUAAUAGAACCUGCCAAAGCCAAGCACAUAAAGAACUUCAUCAAAAUACAUCAGUGCGUCAGAUAUCCCUUUGCUUUCAAUACUAAGAAUAAACAAAGGUCACACUGUCACCAGAUCACAAAAGCUUGCCGGGCUUGAUGCUAUUUUUUGCUGAGUUGCUCAAGAAUUAGAGAAUAGUUGGCAAUUUCAUUCACAAAUAUUUGCACUCCUAAUGGGGCAGUGGAAGCAUGGAUGACUGGAAAAGACAUGACUGGUCCACAUCUGGGGAGAAGACAAAUGAGCUCUAAAGCUACCAGGCAGCAGUUUUGCUGUCUCCUUGUUAGGAAACUUUCUGUUAGAGCGACAUACAGAGCUGAAAGCCUCUACUAAAAUGUGUUUGGCAUCCAGCUCCAACUUCUGAGUCAAUGGUCUGGCACAGUCCACCUAGAAAGUGGCUACCAAAAGGAACCAGAGGCAGCAGCUGUGCUGCCUGCCUGCUCAGGAGCUUUGUGCACUCUGGGGCAGUGCCUGCUGCAUUGGGAAGUCCCGUCCUUUUUCUCAUCAUCCAAAAGCUCGGCAACAGCAAUCUUCAUGUCUCUUUUGGCAGCCGUCCCAGUAGCACAAGAGCACUCUGUGAUGGACUCUUUGGUUUCUAGGCUUGGAUGACUACUUCUUAGACUUUAUAACAGCAACUUUUCAUGCUGUCUUCCAUGGCUUAUAGAUAAAAUGGCACUGUGGAAGAAAUAGUAGGCAUAGUCUCUUCAAGAGUCCUUUAGACCUGAUCAGGGAUUUUAAGCUCUCCUUCUUUAAGAUAUAUGGACCCCCCCCCCCAAGGAGGAAUGGAUUUUGAACCUCUGCUCUCAGACAGAUCUCCUUUUAACAUGUGGAAUUCCAAAAGCAAUGACAGAUUGGAAACUCAUGCCAAAGUCGCUGAAGCAUUUAAUAGAGCCCGAGGAAGCUAGUGUCAAUCUUUCCUUUGUCCAGAACUACUUUAACAAAGUAUGCGACCUCUUCGAACUCUCUCGAUGGCUCGUGUGAAAUGAAAUCUAGCCUAAGUGCGGUAAUCUGGGGGCAUUAAAUUACGUUUAACCUAAA